GUGGGGAAUAUUGCGCAAUGGGGGAAACCCUGACGCAGCAACGCCGCGUGAGUGAAGAAGUAUUUCGGUAUGUAAAGCUCUAUCAGCAGGGAAGAAGAUGACGGUACCUGCAGAAGAAGUCCCGGCUAACUACGUGCCAGCAGCCGCGGUAAUACGUAGGGGACAAGCGUUAUCCGGAUUUACUGGGUGUAAAGGGAGCGUAGGCGGCCAGCCAAGUCAGAAGUGAAAUCCCGCGGCUCAACUGCGGGUUUGCUUUUGAAACUGGAGGGCUUGAGUACUGGAGGGGCAAGCGGAAUUCCUGGUGUAGCGGUGAAAUGCAUAGAUAUCAGGAAGAACACCGGAGGCGAAGGCGGCUUGCUGGACAGAGACUGACGCUGAGGCUCGAAGGCGUGGGGAGCAAACAGG
rnacentral:rRNA from 1 species